rnacentral:rRNA from 1 species
GACGAACGCUGGCGGCGUGCCUAAUACAUGCAAGUCGAGCGAAUGACGAGAAGCUUGCUUCUCUGAUUUAGCGGCGGACGGGUGAGUAACACGUGGGCAACCUGCCCUACAGAUCGGGAUAACUCAGGGAAACCUGGGCUAAUACAGGAUAAUCCUUCGAAUCACAUGUUUUGAAGUUGAAAGGCGAUUCGGCCUCACUGUAGGAUGGCCCGCGGUGCAUUAGCUAGUUGGUGGGGUAACGGCCUACCAAGGCAACGAUGCAUAGCCGACCUGAGAGGGUGAUCGGCCACAUUGGGACUGAGACACGGCCCAAACUCCUACGGGAGGCAGCAGUAGGGAAUCUUCCACAAUGGACGAAAGUCUGAUGGAGCAACGCCGCGUGAGUGAUGAAGGUUUUCGGAUCGUAAAACUCUGUUGUAAGGGAAGAACAAGUACGUUAGGAAAUGAACGUACCUUGACGGUACCUUAUUAGAAAGCCACGGCUAACUACGUGCCAGCCGCCGCGGUAA